ACUCCUACGGGAGGCAGCAGUGGGGAAUCUUGCACAAUGGGCGAGAGCCUGAUGCAGCAACGCCGCGUGAGUGAAGAAGGCCCUUGGGUUGUAAAGCUCUUUCGGUUGGGAAGAAGGGGAUAUGGGCUAAUACCUCAUAUUUUUGACGGUACCAGCAUAAGAAGCACCGGCUAAUUCCGUGCCAGCAGCCGCGGUAAUACGGGAGGUGCAAGCGUUGUUCGGAGUGACUGGGCGUAAAGCGCACGUAGGUGGGCUUGUAAGUCGGAUGUGAAAUCCCCGGGCUUAACCUGGGAACUGCAUCCGAAACUACAAGUCUUGAAUGCUUCAGAGGUUGGUAGAAUUCCAGGUGUAGGAGUGAAAUCCGUAGAUAUCUGGAGGAAUACCGGAGGCGAAGGCGGCCAACUGGGAAUGCAUUGACACUGAGGUGCGAAAGCGUGGGGAGCAAACAGGAUUAGAUACCCUGGUAGUCCACGCUGUAAACUAUGGAUACUAGGUGUUUGGAGAAUUAACCCUCUGAGUACUACAGCUAACGCGUUAAGUAUCCCGCCUGGGGAGUACAGUCGCAAGGCCGAAACUCAAAGAAAUUGACGGGGGCCCGCACAAGCGGUGGAGUAUGUGGUUUAAUUCGAAGCAACGCGCAGAACCUUACCUACCCUUAACAUCCCACGCUAGCAUCAGAGAUGAUGUGUUCUCUUCGGAGACGUGGAGAUAGGUGCUGCAUGGCUGUCGUCAGCUCGUGUCGUAAGAUGUCUGGUUAAGUCCAAUAACGAGCGCAACCCCUAUUCUUAGUUGCCAUCAUUAAGUUAGGAACUCUAGGAAGACUGCCGGUGUUAAACCGGAGGAAGGCGGGGAUGACGUCAAGUCCUCAUGGCCCUUACGGGUAGGGCUACACACGUACUACAAUGGCAGAGACAGACCGUUGCGAAAUCGUGAGAUGGAGCUAAUCGGUAAAACACUGCCUCAGUUCAGAUUGCAGUCUGCAACUCGACUGCAUGAAGUUGGAAUCGCUAGUAA
rnacentral:rRNA from 1 species